rnacentral:tRNA from 3 species
GCCCGAGUGGCGGAACUGGCAGACGCGCACGACUCAAAAUCGUGUGAGGCAACUCAUGUGGGUUCGACUCCCACCUCGGGCA